CUUGCAAAAGCUGGGGUGGUGAGAGAAGCCAACCACAAUGUCUACUUUGAUAAUCACAAUGCUGACCUUCCUUAACCCUGCCAUCUUUAUUCUGAUUUUGCCCCCAAUAAUUCUGGAGUUCCAUUUAUACAGUCUUAGUGUCCCAGAUUAGUUGGGGCAAGCCUAUAUUGGCUUUGAUCGUCUCUUUGUUAUUUUUCUGGUAUGUUUGACGUCUGAUGGCUCAUCAGGAUCUUUUCUAAGUUCUGCCAAUCCUCACUGCUGGGAAUUCUUUUUGUUUUCAAGCAAGUCACUUGAGACCUUGCUCCCUGUAAGUCUCCAUUUGGAGAUUUUUUAU
rnacentral:lncRNA from 1 species